rnacentral:rRNA from 1 species
UUGUUGGUAAGGUAAAAGCUUACCAAGGCUUCGAUCAGUAGCUGGUCUGAGAGGACGACCAGCCACACUGGGACUGAGACACGGCCCAGACUCCUACGGGAGGCAGCAGUGGGGAAUUUUGGACAAUGGGGGCAACCCUGAUCCAGCCAUGCCGCGUGAGUGAAGAAGGCCUUCGGGUUGUAAAGCUCUUUCAGCCGGAACGAAACGGUUACGGUUAACGCCCGUGACUACUGACGGUACCGGAAGAAGAAGCACCGGCUAACUACGUGCCAGCAGCCGCGGUAAUACGUAGGGUGCGAGCGUUAAUCGGAAUUACUGGGCGUAAAGCGUGCGCAGGUGGUUUUGUAAGUCAGAUGUGAAAGCCCCGGGCUCAACCUGGGAACUGCGUUUGAAACUACAAGACUAGAGUGUGGCAGAGGGGGGUGGAAUUCCGCGUGUAGCAGUGAAAUGCGUAGAGAUGUGGAGGAACACCGAUGGCGAAGGCAGCCCCCUGGGUCAACACUGACGCUCAGGCACGAAAGCAUGGGGAGCAAACAGGAUUAGAUACCCUGGUAGUCCAUGCCCUAAACGAUGUCAACUAGUUGUCGGGCCUUUACGGGCUUGGUAACGUAGCUAACGCGUGAAGUUGACCGCCUGGGGAGUACGAUCGCAAGAUUAAAACUCAAAUGAAUUGACGGGGACCCGCACAAGCGGUGGAUUAUGUGGAUUAAUUCGAUGCAACGCGAAAAACCUUACCUACCCUUGACAUGUAUCGAAGCCCGCAGAAAAGCGGGGGUGCCCGAAAGGGAACGAUAACACAGGUGCUGCAUGGCUGUCGUCAGCUCGUGUCGUGAGAUGUUGGGUUAAGUCCCGCAACGAGCGCAACCCUUGUCAUUAAUUGCCAUCAUUUAGUUGGGCACUUUAAUGAGACUGCCGG